rnacentral:rRNA from 1 species
UACGUAGGUGGCAAGCGUUGUCCGGAUUUAUUGGGUUUAAAGGGUGCGUAGGCGGCCUUGUAAGUCAGUGCUGAAAUAUCCCGGCUUAACCGGGAGGGUGGCAUUGAUACUGCGAGGCUUGAGUAAAGUUGAGGUUGGCGGAAUUGACGGUGUAGCGGUGAAAUGCUUAGAUAUCGUCAAGAACACCGAUAGUGAAGACAGCUAACUAAGCUUUAACUGACGCUGAGGCACGAAAGUGUGGGGAUCAAACAGG